ensembl:lncRNA
UAGACCUUUCACACAGUCCAUGUGUCUGUCUGCAUCUCUCUGUGCUCUGACUGGAAAAGGAAAAUAUUUAUUCUUGUCCUUUCGCCAGUUUUGGAUGGAUGUCCUGUUCGUGGAAAUGUCUUUAUGGUGCCCACUUUCCUCCACUUCUUGACAACGACUUUAAUGAGGUUCCAUGGUACAUUUAAUGUUUUGGAAGUUGUACAUGCUUUGUAAGCUCUUUGUGGACCAUGGCUUCAGCAGUUGGAUGGAACCAAGAUGACAUCAAGAAAAUCCUACAGAAACAGCUGAUCUUUACUUGUGUUUAUUCAGAAUCACUUUGAUGACAGGUGUAUGAUAAUUACUGUUGAAAAUGAGUUAAAGUGUGAUUGGUUAAUUCUGAGCACAGUCACAUGACACAUUAUAAAAGUUAAACUUAUGCAGAGUAUUGUAAGUUUUUUUUUUUUUUUCUAAAACAUUUAAAUUUGUUUUUCAUUUCAAUUUUGUUGGUUGCUAUAUCACAUUCAAGUUGGGAAAAGAUCUCACAUUUGAUCAGAUUUAUCUUGGUUUCACUGGUUUACAUUACAAAAAAAUGGUUGAUUAAUAGCACAAUACUGUGAUAAACAUGAUGUUUUAGACUGGAUUAUCAUAAUGUGAACAUUUCAAACUGUAACACCUCUACUUUACUUAAUGAAAUGGCCCACAGGAAAGACAGGUGAAGCAGUUUCUGUUUAAAAUCAGCAGCUUAGUGUGUCAGAUAUGGGUCAAAAAUAUCUGAAAAACAUUUUCUACUAUAAAAAUAUUCAAUGUAAAAAGCUCAAUGUUAAUUCCGAACCUGCUGAACAUAGAGAUGUCACUUUUCAUUACAUUAAAACAAUAAAUAUUUAUGACCAUCAAUACUGCCCUGGUGACCACAAGCUUAUUUCAUUUCGAACUGAACAGCCUUCAUCAGACACAUGUGUGUGUACUGGGUCUGUU